rnacentral:rRNA from 1 species
UACAGAGGUCCCAAGCGUUGUUCGGAUUCACUGGGCGUAAAGGGUGCGUAGGCGGCCAGGUAAGUCUGGUGUGAAAUCUCGGAGCUCAACUCCGAAACUGCACUGGAAACUCUCUGGCUAGAGGUUGGGAGGGGGGACUGGAAUUCUCGGUGUAGCAGUGAAAUGCGUAGAUAUCGAGAGGAACACCAGUGGCGAAGGCGAGUCCCUGGACCAAUCCUGACGCUGAGGCACGAAAGCCAGGGGAGCAAACGGG